ACCCACCGCACUGCGCUUCGGCAAAACCUUUUAUUUGCCUCCCCUAAGGACAUAGCGAUAACGUGAUGAAGUACGUGAAGCACGAGGACGCGCCUUUUACGCGCCGUAGUGAGCGAUUAAACAUCAACCAGUGCGCGUGGUCCCCCCUUUUGCGCAAAGCUUAAAAAUAGACUAACUUCUAAAGGCAAGUCUACGGAGAAAAAAUCAUGAAGGCACGUCCGUAACUCACUGGGAAAGUCCAUAGCGGCGUCCGCAUAGCCCCUCACAGGGUCCUCGCGGUUUGGCCCGGGUCCGUCUAUUGCCCAUUAAUUGGAAACGAAGCUCUUUUGUGGAUCUCCUGCACUUAUCCGAUGUACGUGUCCGUCACCCUGGCGCAUGGCAGCACCUGUGGAGCUAAAGGAAUACAAAUAUAUUGAGAUUUCCAGGAAGUAUACCGCCGUGUGUUAUGAGGAGAGAACAGCUUCCAACCGCCACACUUCUCCAUUAGACAGGAAGUAAAGAAAUGUACACACACACCUCUGCAUGACUCAGUUUUAGUACUACGUGGUUCGGAAAGACAAUGUUGAGAGGCUGCUGGACUGUGUGGUCAAAGAGCUGUUUGCUUAUGUCUGAGCCAACAUGAGACAGAGAGGGGAGAGGGAGACAAGGUACGUGCUGUGAGCCAUGCUUCAUGACAAGGACAGGGGAUUGGAGUGGGAGGCGAGGGAUAUGUGGGGAAAGCAAGGGUAGGGGAGUCCAGUCACAGCGACUCCUAAGGUGGACUGGGACACAUUUGAACUGAGGAUGAGUUAAAAGUGUGAUGUCAAGUAGGGCAGGAACCUGAGUGCUCUGUCCUUUCACACAUGUGCUCCACGUACCUCACCGCAACGAACAAAGACACCCGCAAGUGGGGGGAAUCCACGUAACAAAGGACAGACCUCCUGACCUUAUAUAUGGAUGGCAGUGAAAGUGCACAGAUGCUAUUGUUGUGUGCGUUUGUUCGUUUUGUUGUUGUGCUUUUUCCAUCAAGGUUUUAGGCUUGCGGCCAGCUAGGUCUGCUCCUCUGGCGCGACACGAGACAGGAAGCUGACAUAAAAGAAUGGAGGGGGGCCGACUGUGAGGGACGCAGGAGCCAAGGCGGGAGCCAAGGCAGUGGCCGCUGACGAGGUCGGAAGUUAUUGUUUCAAAAUACAGAUAUCCAUAGUGACACGGCUCAUCUAUUGAAGUUAUUGUGAUGGCGCGGUGAUAGCCACGAGCGCAGAAACGCCUUCCACCGCUGUCACUUAGCCCGGCUGCGCUGGCCAGCAACACAAUGCUGUUGUUGCAAAUAAAAAGAAAGCCUUUCCUGAACAGUGUAAAGAGAAUUGAAUCAUCUCCCCAGGCAUGAAUUGGAUGCAGGCUAACGGUGUGUCCCAGCACCGGGACUUGCUGCCUGGUGAACACGCACGUUCUCGUGACGUCAAGGCAAAAGCGUGGGCCGUCGGUCCUGUGACGCACUGCUAACCUUUCCGGGGGGGUCCCUUGCCGGGACAUGCGCUUAGGAAAAUGGGUGGCUCAGAUAAAACGCCACAAUCACACUAGCGGUUAAGUGAGGCAGCACUUUAGCCGAGCAUUGGUAUCAGCAUGCCGCUCACGGAACAGCUCUGCCAGCAGACAAGUCUGUGCGCUGAUAUUUAGCAGCUUUAGUACUUUGUCAAACUGGUUCCCCGUCAUUUUCCAGUCCUCCGAUAUCAGGACCAUCACAUUUUGAUACCACCCCCUCCCCCCGAGAGAAUGUCCUUCACCUUCUAGGUCUUCUGAUAGGCUAGCUGUCUGUAGCUUCACACCUUCACCUACUCAAUAGGCCUCUCAACACUGGCCCUCUGUUGGUAAAGUUAUGCUGCGAGUUUCAAAGUAUAUUACA